rnacentral:SRP_RNA from 1 species
UCUGGUAGUGCGCAACUGUAGCCCCAGCUACUUGGGAAACUGAGGCAUGAGGAUCGCUUGAGCCCAGGAGUUCUGGGCUGUAGUGUGGUAUGCCAAUCAGGUGUGCACACUAAGUUCGGCAUCAAUAUGGUGAUGUCCCAGGAGCAGGAGACCACCAGGUUGCCCCAGGAGGAGUGAACCAGCCCAGGUCAGGAAUGGAGCAGAUCAAAACUCCCGUGCUGAUAACCAAAUGCAAUGCACAGCUCUUAAUCAGGUCCCAGAUUGGAAAAAAGAUAAAAUUUUUC